rnacentral:rRNA from 1 species
AACGAACGCUGGCGGCAUGCCUAACACAUGCAAGUCGAACGUGAUCCGGGACUUCGGUUUCGGUGAAAGUGGCGGACGGGUGAGUAACGCGUGGGAACCUGCCCAGUGGUAGGGGAUAACCGCGGGAAACUGCGGCGUAAAUACCCUAUGUGCCCUGCGGGGCAAAGAUUCAUCGCCAUUGGAGGGGCCCGCGUCGGAUUAGGUAGUUGGUGGGGUAACGGCCUACCAAGCCUUCGAUCCGUAGCUGGUCNGAGAGGAUGAUCAGCCACACCUGGGACUGAGACACGGCCCA